rnacentral:rRNA from 2 species
UCAGCUCGUGUCGUGAGAUGUUGGGUUAAGUCCCGCAACGAGCGCAACCCUUGAUGUUAGUUGCCAUCAUUAAGUUGGGCACUCUAAGGUGACUGCCGGUGACAAACCGGAGGAAGGUGGGGAUGACGUCAAAUCAUCAUGCCCCUUAUGACCUGGGCUACACACGUGCUACAAUGGACGGUACAAAGAGCUGCAAGACCGCGAGGUGGAGCUAAUCUCAUAAAACCGUUCUCAGUUCGGAUUGUAGGCUGCAACUCGCCUACAUGAAGCUGGAAUCGCUAGUAAUCGCGGAUCAGCAUGCCGCGGUGAAUACGUUCCCGGGCCUUGUACACACCGCCCGUCACACCACGAGAGUUUGUAACACCCGAAGUCGGUGGGGUA